rnacentral:rRNA from 1 species
GAUGAACGCUGGCGGCGUGCUUAACACAUGCAAGUCGAACGAACAGACGCGGAGCUUGCUCCUCUGUCGGUAGCGGCGGACGGGUGAGAAACAAGAGGAUAACCUACUUAUAAGUCUGGGAUAACUACGGGAAACCGGAGCUAAUACUGGAGAAUAUAUUGAAUCGCUUGGAUCAUUAGUGAAAGACGGAUUUUCUGUCACUUAUAGAUGGAUCCGCGCCGCAUUAGCUAGUUGGUAAGGUAACGGCUUACCAAGGCAGCGAUGCGUAGCCGACCUGAGAGGGUGAUCGGCCGCACUGGAGCUGAGACACGGUCCAGGCUCCUACGAGAGGCAGCAGUAGGGAAUCUUCCGCAAUGGGCGAAAGCUUGACGGAGCAACGCUGCGUGAGUGAUGAAGGUCUUCGGAUCGUAAAACUCUGUUAUUAGGGGAGAACAAAUGUGUAAGUAACUAUGCACGUCUUGACGGUACCUAAUCAGGAAGCCACGGCUAACUACGUG